GAUGAACGCUGGCGGCGUGCCUAAUACAUGCAAGUCGAGCGAACAGAUAAGGAGCUUGCUCCUUUGAAGUUAGCGGCGGACGGGUGAGUAACACGUGGGUAACCUACCUAUAAGACUGGGAUAACUUCGGGAAACCGGAGCUAAUACCGGAUAACAUUUAGAACCGCAUGGUUCUAAAGUGAAAGAUGGUUUUGCUAUCACUUAUAGAUGGACCCGCGCCGUAUUAGCUAGUUGGUAAGGUAACGGCUUACCAAGGCGACGAUACGUAGCCGACCGGAGAGGGGGAUAGGCCACACUGGAACUGAGACACGGUCCAGACUCCUACGGGAGGCAGCAGUAGGGAAUCUGCCGCAAUGGGCGAAAGCCUGACGGAGCAACGCCGCGUGAGUGAUGAAGGGUUUCGGCUCGUAAAACUCUGUUAUUAGGGAAGAACAAAUGUGUAAGUAACUGUGCACAUCUUGACGGUACCUAAUCAGAAAGCCACGGCUAACUACGUG
rnacentral:rRNA from 1 species